UGGGGAAUCUUGCACAAUGGGGGAAACCCUGAUGCAGCGACGCCGCGUGAACGAUGAAGCCCUUCGGGGUGUAAAGUUCUUUCGGCAGGAACGAUAAUGACGGUACCUGAAGAAGAAGCUGCGGCUAACUACGUGCCAGCAGCCGCGGUAAUACGUAGGCAGCAAACGUUGUUCGGAGUUACUGGGCGUAAAGAGUACGUAGGCGGUUUGCCAAGUUUGGUGUGAAAUCUCCUGGCUUAACUGGGAGGGUGCGCCGAAUACUGGCAGACUUGAGUAUUGGAGAGGAAAGCGGAAUUCCUGGUGUAGCGGUGAAAUGCGUAGAGAUCGGGAGGAACAUCCGUGGCGAAGGCGGCUCUCUGGACCAGCACUGACGUUGAGGCACGAAAGCGUGGGGAGCAAACAGGAUUAGAUACCCCCGUAGUCCCUGAGCGGGCUGGCAAGGCGCAU
rnacentral:rRNA from 1 species